rnacentral:lncRNA from 1 species
GGCAACUUGUUCGGGUAUCCUUCCCCAGUGUGGAAGCUUUAGUUCUUUUGCUCUUUGCAAUGAAUCUUGCUGCUGCUCACUCUUUGGGUCCACGCUGCGUUUACACUGUGUUUAUGAGCUGUAACACUCACCACAAAGGUCUGCAGCUUCACUCCUGAAGCCAGCAAAGACCACGAACCCACCAGGAAGAAGGAACAACUCCAGACACGCAGCCUUAAGAGCUGUAACACUCACUGCCAAGGUCUUCAGCUUCACUCCUGAGCCAGCCAGACCAUGAACCCACCAGAAGGAAAAAACUCGGAACACAUCCCAACAUCAGAAGGAACAAACUCUGGACAUGCCGCCUUUAAGAACUGUAACAACGCAAGGGUCCGCGGCUUUAUUCUUGAAGUCAGUAAGACCAAGAACCCAAUUCCGGACACGUUUGGACCGUGAGUCCCUUUCUUGGGUUGGCUCAAUGUUUUAUAUGUAAGACAGCAACAGUGUCAGUGUUCUAGUUUAUCUGGUUUAAGGUUUAUUACCCAUCUGAGUGGGCCUG